GACGAACGCUGGCGGCGUGCUUAACACAUGCAAGUCGAACGGUAAGGCCCUUCGGGGUACACGAGUGGCGAACGGGUGAGUAACACGUGGGUGAUCUGCCCUGCACUUCGGGAUAAGCCUGGGAAACUGGGUCCCCUCCCCCCCCGCCCCCCUCCCUCCAUGGGUGGCGGCGGCAACCCUUUGCGGUGUGGGAUGGGCCCGCGGCCUAUCAGCGUGUCGGGGGGGUGAUGGCCUACCAAGGCGACGACGGGUAGCCGGCCUGAGAGGGUGACCGGCCACACUGGGACUGAGAUACGGCCCAGACUCCUACGGGAGGCAGCAGUGGGGAAUAUUGCACAAUGGGCGCAAGCCUGAUGCAGCGACGCCGCGUGAGGGAUGACGGCCUUCGGGUUGUAAACCUCUUUCAGCACCGACGAAGCGCAAGUGACGGUAGGUGCAGAAGAAGGACCGGCCAACUACGUGCCAGCCGCCGCCGUAA
rnacentral:rRNA from 1 species